GACGAACGCUGGCGGCGUGCUUAACACAUGCAAGUCGAACGAAGUGGCGAACGGGUGAGUAACGCGUAAUCAACCUGCCCUUCAGAGGGGGACAACAGUUGGAAACGACUGCUAAUACCGCAUACUGAAGGAGGGGAUUGCGUUUGAUUAGCUUGUUGGUGAGGUAACGGCCCACCAAGCCUUCGAUGGAUAGGGGUUCUGAGAGGAAGACGCGCAACAUUGGAACUGAGACACGGUCCAAACUCCUACGGGAGGCAGCAGUGGGGAAUUUUGGACAAUGGGCGCAAGCCUGAUCCAGCCAUGCCGCGUGUCUGAAGAAGGCCUUCGGGUUGUAAAGGACUUUUGUCAGGGAAGCGGUACCUGAAGAAUAAGCACCGGCUAACUACGUGCCAGCAGCCGCGGUAAUUC
rnacentral:rRNA from 1 species